rnacentral:rRNA from 1 species
AUUGAACGCUGGCGGCAGGCUUAACACAUGCAAGUCGAGCGGGGUGAUGGUGCUUGCACUAUCACUUAGCGGCGGACGGGUGAGUAAUGCUUAGGAAUCUGCCUAUUAGUGGGGGACAACAUUCCGAAAGGAAUGCUAAUACCGCAUACGCCCUACGGGGGAAAGCAGGGGAUCUUCGGACCUUGCGCUAAUAGAUGAGCCUAAGUCGGAUUAGCUAGUUGGUGGGGUAAAGGCCUACCAAGGCGACGAUCUGUAGCGGGUCUGAGAGGAUGAUCCGCCACACUGGGACUGAGACACGGCCCAGACUCCUACGGGAGGCAGCAGUGGGGAAUAUUGGACAAUGGGCGGAAGCCUGAUCCAGCCAUGCCGCGUGUGUGAAGAAGGCCUUUUGGUUGUAAAGCACUUUAAGCGAGGAGGAGGCUACCUGGAUUAAUACUCUAGGAUAGUGGACGUUACUCGCAGAAUAAGCACCGGCUAACUCUGUGCCAGCCGCCGCGGUAA